rnacentral:RNase_P_RNA from 1 species
AGGAGAGGGAGGGCGGCCGACGGUAGGACUCCGGUCCAGCUGAGGAAGGUCCCCCCUCGACGAGACAGGUGGACCGCGUGAGCGGUCAGGCGAGAGCCUGGGCAAGGGCACAGAAACGGCACAGCCCCGACCGAGGAUGAUUCGCUCGGCGAUGACGUUGGUCGGGGAUCUGGUGAAACGGCGACUCCCCACCCGAGCAAGUCCAAACAGCCGGGUUGAACGUCUCGAGACCGGCGGGUAGGGCGCUUAGUUGAAUGCCGCCUGAAACAGAAGGGGGCCUACUACCCUCACCU